rnacentral:rRNA from 1 species
UACGUAGGGUGCAAGCGUUAUCCGGAAUUACUGGGCGUAAAGGGUGAGUAGGCGGUCAAUUAAGUCAUAUGUGAAAAUCCAAUGCUCAACAUUGGACCUGCAUAAGAAACUGGUAGACUGGAGUGCAGGAGAGGUAAGUGGAAUUCCUAGUGUAGCGGUGAAAUGCGUAGAGAUUAGGAAGAACACCAGUGGCGAAGGCGACUUACUGGACUGUAACUGACGCUGAGUCACGAAAGCGUGGGGAGCGAACAGG